rnacentral:rRNA from 1 species
GACGAACGCUGGCGGCGUGCUUAACACAUGCAAGUCGAACGGGAACCUUUAUUUCGGUAAAGGUGAGAGUGGCAAACGGGUGAGUAACACGUAGGCAACCUGCCGACAGGAUGGGGACAACAUUCCGAAAGGAAUGCUAAUACCGAAUGAAGUCACCGGAGGGCAUCCUCUGGUGAUGAAAGAUGGCCUCUGAAUAUGCUAUCGCCUGUCGAUGGGCCUGCGUCUGAUUAGCCAGUUGGCGGGGUAACGGCCCACCAAAGCGACGAUCAGUAGCCGGUCUGAGAGGAUGAACGGCCACAUUGGGACUGAGACACGGCCCAGACUCCUACGGGAGGCAGCAGUGGGGAAUCUUCCACAAUGGGCGAAAGCCUGAUGGAGCAACGCCGCGUGAGUGAAGAAGGUCUUCGGAUCGUAAAGCUCUGUUGCACGGGACGAAAACCGAGCUUGAAAACAUUGAGUUUGGGGACG